UAUCAAUAAGCGGAGGAAAAGAAACUAACAAGGAUUCCCCUAGUAACUGCGAGUGAAGCGGGAAAAGCUCAAAUUUAAAAUCUGGCAGUCUUUGAUUGUCCGAGUUGUAGUCUGGAGAAGUGCUUUCCGCGCUGGACCGUGUACAAGUCCCUUGGAACAGGGCGUCAUAGAGGGUGAGAAUCCCGUCUUUGACACGGACUACCAGUGCUUUGUGAUGCGCUCUCAAAGAGUCGAGUUGUUUGGGAAUGCAGCUCAAAAUGGGUGGUAAAUUCCAUCUAAAGCUAAAUACAGGCGAGAGACCGAUAGCGAACAAGUACCGUGAGGGAAAGAUGAAAAGCACUUUGGAAAGAGAGUUAAACAGUACGUGAAAUUGCUGAAAGGGAAACGCUUGAAGUCAGUCGCGUCUUUCGGAAAUCAGCCUUGCAUUUAUUUGUUUGGUGUAUUUUCUGUUUGACGGGCCAACAUCGAUUUUAAUCGUUGGAUAAAGAUAAAGGAAAUGUGGCACCUUCGGGUGUGUUAUAGUCUUUUAUUGCAUACAACGGUCGGGAUCGAGGAACUCAGCACGCCUUUAUUGGUCGGGGUUCGCCCACGUUUCGUGCUUAGGAUGUUGGCAUAAUGGCUUUAAACGACCCGUCUUGAAACACGGACCAAGGAGUCUAACAUACCUGCGAGUGUUUGGGUGUUAAACCCGAGCGCGUAAUUAAAGUAAUAGUUGAGAUCCCCCUUAAAAGGGAGCAUCGACGCCCGGACUUGACCUUUUGUGAUAGCUCUGCGGUAGAGCAUGUAUGUUGGGACCCGAAAGAUGGUGAACUAUGCCUGAAUAGGGUGAAGCCAGAGGAAACUCUGGUGGAGGCUCGUAGCGAUUCUGACGUGCAAAUCGAUCGUCAAAUUUGGGUAUAGGGGCGAAAGACUAAUCGAACCAUCUAGUAGCUGGUUCCUG
rnacentral:rRNA from 1 species